rnacentral:rRNA from 1 species
UACGGAGGGUGCAAGCGUUAAUCGGAAUUACUGGGCGUAAAGGGCGCGUAGGUGGUUACUUAAGUCAGAUGUGAAAUCCCUGGGCUCAACCUAGGAAUUGCAUUUGAAACUGAGUAGCUAGAGUAUGGUAGAGGUAAGUGGAAUUUCCGGUGUAGCGGUGAAAUGCGUAGAUAUCGGAAGGAACACCAGUGGCGAAGGCGACUUACUGGACCAUUACUGACACUGAGGCGCGAAAGCGUGGGGAGCGAACAGG